rnacentral:rRNA from 1 species
UGGGGAAUUUUGGACAAUGGGCGAAAGCCUGAUCCAGCAAUGCCGCGUGUGUGAAGAAGGCCUUCGGGUUGUAAAGCACUUUUGUCCGGAAAGAAAUCCUUGGCUCUAAUACAGUCGGGGGAUGACGGUACCGGAAGAAUAAGCACCGGCUAACUACGUGCCAGCAGCCGCGGUAAUACGUAGGGUGCAAGCGUUAAUCGGAAUUACUGGGCGUAAAGCGUGCGCAGGCGGUUUGCUAAGACCGACGUGAAAUCCCCGGGCUCAACCUGGGAACUGCAUUGGUGACUGGCAGGCUAGAGUAUGGCAGAGGGGGGUAGAAUUCCACGUGUAGCAGUGAAAUGCGUAGAGAUGUGGAGGAAUACCGAUGGCGAAGGCAGCCCCCUGGGCCAAUACUGACGCUCAUGCACGAAAGCGUGGGGAGCAAACAGGAUUAGAUACCCUGGUAGUCCACGCCCUAAACGAUGUCAACUAGUUGUUGGGGAUUCAUUCCUUAGUAACGUAGCUAACGCGUGAAGUUGACCGCCUGGGGAGUACGGUCGCAAGAUUAAAACUCAAAUGAAUUGACGGGGUCAUAGCUGUUUCC